rnacentral:misc_RNA from 1 species
AUUAUCACAUUUAGGUAAUUUCUGAUACCAUUUCCUUUUUUCUCUUUACUGCCUUUUGUACUUCCUCAUUCUACUACCAUCUCUCUAUAUACACAUAGAUCAUUUAACUUCAUAUAUAAUAAGCUGCAAAAAGUUACAGAGUGAUGUGAUUCUCCAACUCUUCCAUUGCCCAACUGAUCAAAGUGGCUGUUGAACCACAAUUAGACUGCAGGUUGGUGGGGCAUUUAUUUGAGAUUGAUUCAUAAAUUAUGAAGGGAGAUCAAUAAGAAUAAUGAACCCAUUCAUCAAUUUUUAUUUAAUUGGAAUUACAAUCAAACUUUCAAUUACAUAUAUAAUUUUUAUUCCACAAGUUCCAAAGGAAAAAGACCGUUUAUGUAUUUCGAAUUACUGAUUUAUCGUUCAUUUAAGAUAAUAUAUCAUAUUUGUUGUUUAUCCAAUUGUAGGAGUUCGAGUGACCACCUUAUUUUCAUCCACCCAAACCCAGACCCUGUCACACCUGAAGUCCCCAGUCACAGGUGUUCCACCUUGAUCACUAUUGCAUCCACGUUGUUUUUGUUCUCUUUCUUUGUGGUAGCCGCUGCAGAGUCCCCGUCUGCCCCAAGGAGCUCCGGCCAUGAAUCACUGAAGGCAAAAAAUAUAUAUAUAUGAUUAAAGAGGACUUGCAUAUACUUGUGCCGACGCUGACUUGCCAUUCUCCUCUCGAUCUAGUUUUCAAUGAAAUCUGUAGAUUGAAUGUUAAUGGUUUGGCUUUGCGUGGGGGU